AGGCACGUGUGCCUUUUUGUAUGUACCGUAUGAAUAAGGAUCGGCUAACUCCGUGCCAGCAGCCGCGGUAAUACGGAGGAUCCGAGCGUUAUCCGGAUUUAUUGGGUUUAAAGGGAGCGUAGGCGGAUGCUUAAGUCAGUUGUGAAAGUUUGCGGCUCAACCGUAAAAUUGCAGUUGAUACUGGGUGUCUUGAGUACAGUAGAGGCAGGCGGAAUUCGUGGUGUAGCGGUGAAAUGCUUAGAUAUCACGAAGAACUCCGAUUGCGAAGGCAGCUUGCUGGACUGUAACUGACGCUGAUGCUCGAAAGUGUGGGUAUCAAACAGGAUUAGAUACCCUGGUAGUCCACACAGUAAACGAUGAAUACUCGCUGUUUGCGAUAUACAGUAAGCGGCCAAGCGAAAGCGUUAAGUAUUCCACCUGGGGAGUACGCCGGCAACGGUGAAACUCAAAGGAAUUGACGGGGGCCCGCACAAGCGGAGGAACAUGUGGUUUAAUUCGAUGAUACGCGAGGAACCUUACCCGGGCUUAAAUUGCAAAUGAAUGUUCUGGAAACAGAUCAGCCGCAAGGCAUUUGUGAAGGUGCUGCAUGGUUGUCGUCAGCUCGUGCCGUGAGGUGUCGGCUUAAGUGCCAUAACGAGCGCAACCCUUAUCGAUAGUUACCAUCAGGUUAUGCUGGGGACUCUGUCGAGACUGCCGUCGUAAGAUGUGAGGAAGGUGGGGAUGACGUCAAAUCAGCACGGCCCUUACGUCCGGGGCUACACACGUGUUACAAUGGGGGGUACAGAAGGCAGCUACACGGUGACGUGAUGCUAAUCCCUAAAACCUCUCUCAGUUCGGAUUGGAGUCUGCAACCCGACUCCAUGAAGCUGGAUUCGCUAGUAAUCGCGCAUCAGCCACGGCGCGGUGAAUACGUUCCCGGGCCUUGUACACACCGCCCGUCAAGCCAUGAAAGCCGGGGGUACCUGAAGUGCGUAACCGCGAGGAGCGCCCUAGGGUAAAACUGGUGAUUGGGGCUAAGUCGUAACAAGGUAGCCGUACCGGAAGGUGCGGCUG
rnacentral:rRNA from 1 species